CUUCAGGGAGCCCAGCCACAGCGGCCGCCCCGCCGUUUUGGCCUGCCCGUACGUGGCCAGCAGCGCGUCCGCCUC
rnacentral:antisense_RNA from 1 species